AUUGAACGCUGGCGGCAGGCCUAACACAUGCAAGUCGAGCGGAUGAAGGGAGCUUGCUCCUGGAUUCAGCGGCGGACGGGUGAGUAAUGCCUAGGAAUCUGCCUGGUAGUGGGGGAUAACGUCCGGAAACGGGCGCUAAUACCGCAUACGUCCUGAGGGAGAAAGUGGGGGAUCUUCGGACCCCACGCUAUCAGAUGAGCCUAGGUCGGAUUAGCUAGUUGGUGGGGUAAAGGCCUACCAAGGCGACGAUCCGUAACUGGUCUGAGAGGAUGAUCAGUCACACUGGAACUGAGGCACGGUCCAGGCUCCUACGGGAGGCAGCAGUGGGGAAUAUUUGACAAAGGGCGAAAGCCUUGUCCAGCCAUGCCGCGUGUGUGAAGAAGGGCUUCGGAUUUUAAAGCACUUUAAGUUGGGAGGAAGGGCAGUAAGUUAAUACCUUGCUGUUUUGACGUUACCAACAGAAUAAGCACCGGCUAACUUCGUG
rnacentral:rRNA from 1 species